rnacentral:rRNA from 1 species
UACGUAGGGGGCAAGCGUUGUUCGGAAUUACUGGCGUAAAGGGCUCGUAGGUGGCCAACUAAGUCAGACGUGAAAUCCCUCAGCUUAACUGGGGAACUGCGUCUGAUACUGGAUGGCUUGAGUUUGGGAGAGGGAUGCGGAAUUCCAGGUGUAGCGGUGAAAUGCGUAGAUAUCUGGAGGAACACCGGUGGCGAAGGCGGCAUCCUGGACCAACACUGACACUGAUGAGCGAAAGCCAGGGGAGCAAACGGG